rnacentral:rRNA from 1 species
GACGGAGGAUGCAAGCGUUAUCCGGAAUGAUUGGGCGUAAAGCGUCCGCAGGUGGCUGUGUAAGUCUGCUGUCAAAGAGCAAAGCUCAACUUUGUAAAGGCAGUGGAAACUACACGGCUAGAGUGCGUUCGGGGCAGAGGGAAUUCCUGGUGUAGCGGUGAAAUGCGUAGAGAUCAGGAAGAACACCGGUGGCGAAGGCGCUCUGCUAGGCCGCAACUGACACUGAGGGACGAAAGCUAGGGGAGCGAAUGGG